GACGAACGCUGGCGGCGUGCUUAACACAUGCAAGUCGAACGGAAAGGCCCUGCUUUUGUGGGGUGCUCGAGUGGCGAACGGGUGAGUAACACGUGAGUAACCUGCCCUUGACUUUGGGAUAACUUCAGGAAACUGGGGCUACUACCGGAUAGGAGCUCCGGCUGCCUGGUGGGGGGUGGAAUGUUUCGGCGGUUGGGGAUGGACUCGCGGCUUAUCAGCUUGUUGGUGGGGUAGUGGCUCACCAAGGCUUUGACGGGUAGCCGGCCUGAGAGGGUGACCGGCCACAUUGGGACUGAGAUACGGCCCCGACUCCUACGGGAGGCAGCAGUGGGGAAUAUUGCACAAUGGGCGGAAGCCUGAUGCAGCAACGCCGCGUGCGGGAUGAAGGCCUUCGGGUUGUAAACCGCUUUCGCCUGUGACGAAGCGUGAGUGACGGUAAUGGGUAAAGAAGCACCGGCUAACUACGUG
rnacentral:rRNA from 1 species